AUUCACAGUCGCAUGGUCGCACAUACAUGACACAUGACGUCGUAACUUUCAUAAGUUACUUCAAAACAAUUUUAAAAUUAAACAACGGAGAUCGGAUAAUGAGCUAACUGGUUUAAAUAAUUUUAGCUGAAGUUUUCGUGUACCUGGCUAACGGUACGUAGGUGCUCGUGACAGUAGAAAUAAAAUGGUCUAAUCAAAAAGUGCAAGCUCGCAUUCUAUGUCUUCUGAAGCCAAAUAAUUUCUGCUUCAAGUUUUUGUAAAUCUUCAAGAUGUUGAUGCCUUCACCAGAUCCAAUUCUUGACUGCUAUCGAUUUUGCAGACAACAGCAACAAAAUGUUUCUACUCAAGAUUUUGUGGUGAUUACCACUUCUAAUUUAGGACAAUGUAAGAUUUGAGGUUAAUCCCUCUGCUGUUAUAGUUGUUUGGAAACUGACAAGAGAUUGCUGGAAUUGAAGACUGGUAUAAUUUGUGUAGUUGUUAGUUAACUUACAAGUGCAUAAUCUGGGCUCCCUUCUUUUCUGUGGCCCCGUUUCCCUAACUAACCACUAACCAACGCCCGCCGGUGGGGAGGGCUCUGGUCGAACGGGGAAGGCGCAUGAUCAGAGGAAAUUUUUUGGAGGGUCAUGAGUCUAACCAGGAAGUCUACUAUGACUAAUCGCUUCUUAGCAAAACUGACCAUACUCUUCUUCACUGGUCAGGUAAUCUUCCUGGUCAGUGGUCAGAGUCAAUCAACUGAAUCAAGGCAGUGUCUUCCCUUUUCUUGAUUGAUUGUAACUGCAAGUCAGCAAAACAGCUAUCUAAGUUUACGGUUAGUGAUGGUUAGGUGGAAUAUAAUGUUGAAGAUUUGAUUGAACAAAUUUAUCAACAAAUUUUUGAUCAACAAAUUUAUUUGAGAAUAAU